rnacentral:lncRNA from 1 species
UCCAAUUAAUAAAAUAAUCCCAUGAAAAUUCAAGCAGACAACGUGCAAAUAUUAAUAAAUAACGGAACACGUGAAAACUAAUUAGAUCUCACAGAUUUUCGGGACUGCGCCAUCGAGUUGACCCUUGACUAGAUGGAAGACUUAGCCAUGCCGCAUAAUAAAAGUACCACACGAAUUAAAGAUUGCAAAGGCAUUGCGUUUUCUAUUAAGAAGCAAGGAAUAAAAGGUGUUUUUCCCGUUGGGGAAUAUUGUCGAACACCUGGCGUGUGUCAGAGGCCAGUCAGGAGAAAGAAAGAAAAACUAAAGACUAGGCUAAACACUAAAACUAAAAGGUCGUC